UACGUAGGGAGCAAGCGUUGUUCGGAUUUACUGGGCGUAAAGGGCGCGUAGGCGGCGUGUUAAGUCAGCUGUGAAAUCUCCAAGCUCAACUUGGAACGGCCGGCUGAUACUGAUGUGCUAGAGUGCAGAAGGGGCAAUCGGAAUUCUUGGUGUAGCGGUGAAAUGCGUAGAUAUCAGGAGGAACACCUGAGGCGAAGGCGGGCUACUGGGCUGAUACUGACGCUGAUGCGCGAAAGCCAGGGGAGCAAACGGG
rnacentral:rRNA from 1 species